CUGAGGCCCGGAAACAGAUGACCGAAACAAAUACAUUCACCCAAGAGCCAGCCCUCGGAGAGCUGUUCCUCCUGCCUCUCUACCCCAAGGAAUUCAGUUAUCCACAGCCACUUUGUGACCCGAUCUACCCAGACAGCCUGGCCACAGCGGCUUCAUAAAGCAAGACCCAGGAAUCAAAAGCAGGGCAUGUUUCCUGAAACGAGAUGGAAAACAGCUGUGCUGGAAAAAGGAGGGGCCUGCUGGCUAAGCCGUGGAAAAUACAGAUCAAGGCUGUGUUGCGAAACUCUCUCUGGCUGGCCUUUGCCUGUGACUGUGGCAAGGGGACCGGACUGGGAUUAGCUGCAGGCCACUGCCAGGCCAUGAAAUAACCAGAGCCUCCUGUGGCCCAAGCCUAGAAACCAAGACUUAAUAUCUGCCUGUUAACCGGCUGCCCAGCAUUGCGCUGAAUGUUCUGAUGAAGUGACCUUCAGCUACCAAAAGCUCGUGCUAAUAUCUAUCUACUUAGGGGCAAAUCUACCCUGCCUUCUACUGGACUUCAGAUGAACACAGCUAAUUACGUCUCUUUCUGGAUUGCUAGUCCUGCUCACUACCCCAGCACUUGACCGGUCCAGCCAGUCCUAGAUGCUGGUUAAAUCAGUUGGGCACAUCUGCACAAAUGAGAGAGGAAGCAACUCUACAGGGUGGUGACCAGAAUUGCUGCCCAGUGCUGUGAACAAGUGCAGCCCCCCCACCUCCAAGAGCUGCAGGAGGAGGUGGAAUGGAGGCAGGAGCAGUUCUUCAUCAUAACGUUCCUGCUGGGGCUGAUAGGGGCAGGCAAGGCUGCUUAAAAUGACAGAGGCUGGAGUUUUCCCAGCUACGUGGGGCACGGUUCAGGCAAAGCUGGGGUGAAGGAGACUGAGAAAGAGCUUGAUGUCUGAUACCAAAGACAACAGCCCAAAACAGGCAAUGAUAAACAGCAGCAUCAGUUGGUGCCCAAUGACACCAGGCUAGCAAGGGGAUGUUGGGGGUGAGGGGCAGACCCACGAGGAGCAGCUUCUGCACAAAGCCUAAUUUGUGAUGAUACUUAACAGAUCAGGCCCCUGAAGCACCAGUGGGGUGGGGGAAAGGAGAGCCUAGUAUAUGCAUCCUGCUGGGGCAGGGGAAGGCAUCAAGCUGCUCCUGACUGUGAAGAAGCCCCUCAGCUCUGAAAUGCCCAGCAGCAGAGCUUUAGGCACCUGAGGAGCUGAAAAUGUGGAUGUCUGCAGACUUAAGGUACCUCCAGUAUUUGGCAGAAGCUGAGCAGGGGUUAAACCAUCACAAUUCUGAAGCUUAAAUGCCCCAGCCCCCUUUUGUUUGGGAGGUCAGGACCUUCCCUCCCCACCCUCCCUGCCCAGCUGUGGCACCAGGCAGCCUUGUACUGAGCCAUGCACAUGUGACCUCCCAAACCAGAACCUGUGCAGCUGCCUCAGGACAAAACCCACAGGCAGGGCUCACUGGUGCAAAUGUGCUCAGAGCCAUGCUACAUUAUUAUUAUUUAGAUGCAUAUCCCGCCCUAUCCAAAGGGCUCAGAGCAGCUUAUAACCAACAGGAAACAGCCACAGACACCACCCCAAUACUUGAAAAUGCCAACCUGCCCCCACUGCUGCUUUCCUGUCCAUAGACGCAACUCCUCCAGCUAAGCCCAACCAGCGUUUACAUUCAGAUACAAGAAACCUCUUCCUACUUCCCCACCCACAAGCACAUCCCUGCCUCACCCCCAGGGGAGAUCCCUUUCUUCUCCACAAUUCUCCCAAGCCCAUACUCCCAUCUCCUACAGAGAGCCAGUGGCUGUCCCCAAAAACACAGAACUCCCCCCUGCAACAAACUCAGUGUUAAAUUCAAAAGAACCAUAACAGGGAAGUAAAAGAAAGACCCUUCAUUCCUGUCUCCAGGCAAUGCCAAAGGCUACCUUUGAAAGUUGCCUUUGGUGGUGUCCCCCAAGGCAGCAUCUGCCUGAGGCCUAUGAGACCUGCCCAUUUUGCAGUGCCUGCAGGUUGGCCAGGUUCUUCUCCAUCCAUUCAGGUGGCCAAGUAGGUGCCUGGGCUGGGUCCCAGGCCUCCCCGAGAUGGGAAAGGCAGGGGGUGAUACUAACAGUUUUGGUUCAAGAACCCAUAUGUGUAGCAUGCCGCACUAUAGUGCUGCCCUGGCAGCAUACAUGAACAGUGCCGUUCCAACCCCACAUCCCUGGCACUAGAACUCGGAUGGUCCUAGAGGAACUAGCUCAGCGGAGCAGGAAAAACACGCCAGAGGAUCUGGAAUGGAGCCUUGACACAGACUAGCAGAGCUGCUACAGCGCCAGGUUGGGGAUUAAGCAAGUGUUGAUAAACAGAAACUGCAAGGAGGUGGGCGGCAGGAGAGAUGUGCACAUGCGCUAAGACUGGUCAUCUGGAAGGCGACAGAGGCAGGGUAGCAAUAAGAGAUUUCUUUUAACCACAUAGAUUAUUAGCAACAACUAUUAAAAUAAGAGCACUCAUGGGUAGGAAAAAAAAAUCAACCUCUGAGUAAAAUAAGAGCACAUACCCCUACAUUGCUGCUCCACCAGCACUCAAGAUGUGGUGGAUGCUCUAGGGAUAACAUAUCAGCCCUGCCCCACAGAAUUGGCACUGCAAGACUAAAUGAAAUCCAAGGAGGAAGAGACACUGUAGAAAGAAGGAGGGUUGUUCUGAGAGAAUGGUCAGCUCUAAAGCCUUCUUUAAGCAUCAUCAGUGCUAGAAACUUGCUCUGAUUUAAAUAGUCUGAUUUUAAAUAUCAGUGAUUAAAAGUCAGUGUAAACACAGAUACACCAAAACCUGCAAGCUCUGCUAGUUUAAACAAGGGACACACUGAGUUAAGUGCACCCACACCUGGUGUUUGCAUCAGUUUAAACCCAAAUGAAUGGAAUAAACCACUGCUGUUUUCUUAGCAAGACAUGAGAAGGAGCAGGUCAUUUCAACUUUGGUUUUCCAGUCACUAGUGAGGAUUAGAGGGGUUCAAAACCUUGUCGAUUUCUGUUGCACAGGAAAUUCCAACCCAUCAAAAUCCAUUUUCAUUCCAAACCAGAUGAAAGCAAAAAAAAAGUUCGGAAAUUCCCUGUGAAAUGAGAUUAUUUUGUUUCCGAUCAAUCAAAAUGCUGCGCUCCUGUUUUGACUUUGUACAAUUUGGUAGAAAAGGACAGUUUGGAGCAAAGUAAACUGGGAACAAGGAAAACAAAACAAAAACAAAUCAAAAUGUUCCCUUUCAAUCAAGCUGAAACAUUCCAUUUCAACCCCAUCAAAAGGCUUUCCUGUCUUUUUCUCUAAAAAAAAAAACCCAGCAAAACCAACCCCCCCAAAAACCCAUGCCCAUAGAUGGCUUAGAUUUUUAGGAAGCCGUUUCCUAUUGGCAAAAAAUUCUACCAGAAUUUUUUUUGCUCAAUUCUCAAGCUUAAAGGCAUCGUUUUUUCAAGGGAGGCCUAGCAAUGAGGGCAGGCAGGGAUGAAUGUGGUAAUGAAAAAGGAGACAGUAGAGGGAUCCCCAGGUAGUUCAAAUGGCUGAUUGCGGCCUAAACGCAUUCACACUGCAGUGUUCCACUGCAGAGGCAGCUGCAUCUCAGUGGUGAAUCAUUACGUGGGCAGGUCUGUAUAACCUUUUAGGAGCUUACGGGAUGAAAAGGAGCCGAAUAGUGCAAAGAAACUAAAACAGAACAGGCAACCCAGUAACUCUGCUGCAUCCGCUCAUGCCACAGAGGAGAGGGCGCCACACAGGAGCUCCCAGAAGAAAUAAAACAAAAAACGAGACUGGUCACUGGCCAAGGGGGACAGACUCAUUCAUUAUCACAUCUGAACUGCAGGCCAGCAGCUGCAUUUUUCUGUAGCUCUUCAUCUGUUUUUCUGUUCAUUUUUGUCCUUCUCUUUAACCUUGCUGGGCAAAACACAUCUCCAAGGACAAAUAAAAAUGAUUUUCUUACCAGUGCUGCUGACUUUGCAACCUGUCAGAAAACAGACUCAACUUGAAGCUCCUUCAGUCACUCGCUUUAAAAUAUGGUCAGCAUGGUGUUAAAAAAUGAAAUAUAUGAAUUCGAAGCCUGGGUUACUCUGCUGCAUGCUAAGGAGUGUGAGCAUGUAGAGGGAAGAGAAGCAAAACUAUCUCACGCCGGGAAGCAGGACAGAGGAGGCUGUCACUAAGUAUCAAGCUGGGCCGGGAGGCUGCAGUAGGGACAGCAGCUAGAUCUGCUCAGUUUGGGAAGAGCAGUAAAUGGGAACACUUCCUACCUGAAAAGGUGCCCCAGACCCCAGGGCGAUCACCAGUUUUUACCAGGCAGUUGAUAUAACCAAUCUCUCCAGAAAGGGGUAAAAGAUCAGAGUUGUCCUAUGUGGGUGAACCUUAAAAUAAAACAGAUGUUACACUGAACUUCUGUUGUUUCUCACCCCAACACUUACUUGGAAGAAGUUCCCAUUCACUCCAGUGCAACUGGUGCUACACGCUGGGCAACAAAUUGUAUCGAGGAACCUAAAGUUUGCUACAGCUGUUUUCACAGCCUUUUCUACCGGUGCCCAGUGGACAGCCCAACAGCCUGCGACGGUCUCAGAGAAGCCCUGCUGAGGGUGGUGCCAAGUUUUCAUCUUUUGUUUAGGCCACAAGACAAUGUGGCUCAAAACAUCUCACCUGCAUUCAUUCCUCCACAAACAACCCAGACCUACUUUGUUCAGGGCCACAGCCAUAUAGGGUAGACUUAAGGGGCUUUGGUACUGCUGGGGGAGGCAUGAUGAUGGGGGAUUGGUACAUAUUGCCCCAUUCCCACUAUGUCUGACUCCCACUUUACCCACACAAUCAAACUUCUCUGUACAUUAGCAAGCAUCAGACAACUGUGAGUGCCCGCACAAGUGCUAGAGGAAGGCAGUGUUGUAGUGAAAUGGUGAAUACUGCUUCAACUUGCUGAAACAGGCCAAACAGACUGAAUGAUUUUACAGGCCUGUGUCUGGAUGCGUCUCCCAUGGAGGAAAAAGGCCAAACCCAAACUGAAAGUAUCAUUUUCAAUCAAGCUUUUAAUGAAAAGAUCAUAAAAUAACAGUUUCUCAUCACUGUACAUUAAGACUGCAAAUUUCUGAAUGCUGAGAUCAUAUUAUAAUUUCUGUAUCUUUUUAUAUGACACUUGAGUUGGAGCCACAAGUCCAUGUGGCUCUGACCUGAAUUCAAGCUCUUGAAGGAAAUGAACAGAACAUUGCAGCAGGAGUGUCGGGCUCCCUUCCCCUCCCUGCUCCCCCACCCCCCUCUGCAGGAAACAUCCAGGGCUCUUGGACUGACUGAUAGUUAAGGCUUAAAAAGGAGAUGCAACAUCUCUUUUCCAGUUUCAUCUAAAAUGAGAGAGAGAGAGAGAGAGAAGAAAAAAAAUCCCACCGCCCCCAGAACAAGGCCCCCCUCCCCUAAGGAAAAGAUCAUUCUCAGCUGAAGCUGGUCUGGAAGUUAAAGCAACAAUAAUCCUGAGUGCUUUGAUUGGCUGCUUGUGAACGAUCAAGUUUUAAAAACAUCCCCCUCUUCAAGGAUAGCCAAAUCUGUGAAGUUUCUCCAGUGCUGCCAGCACAUUUUCUCAGCAUGCGGUGUCCUCUCCUUAACCCCUGAUCCUGCUCCCCACUUCAUCCUGCAGGGCCUGCGCCAUAUUACAAGCAUCAGACCCACUGCUGUCCACAUGUUCAAGGCUGGGCUCCAAAACCUGACAGAAGCCCAGGGGCAAACAAAAGACGAGUGAGCUGAUGACGAGCAGUGGCAGGAAUAUAAGGAAAUCCUCCCUCCGCAAGUCCGUGAUUCAGCGUUUCUGAGGUCAGCUACGUUCCAGUAAGGAGAAGAGCAGGGGGGCAGUGGGACACGGGAGGUUUUGCUCUUACGGGAGCCCAGCUGACCACUUUACCUCUAAGCUGAAGCUGUUGUGAUGGAGGAAGGACCUUGCUGGAGAUCCAGAUGGGACAGCAGGACCCCAGCCAGUUUCAGGGAAGGCCCCUGGGAAGGGAGCAGGAAACCAGAAAGAGGGAGAAAAUGCAGUUGCACUCUCCACUGACUUAAAACAAGGGAAUGCAUGGUGGGAGAAAGGGCUGGAAAUCAGCCCUCACUUGCCUAACACUGCUGCUAUCUACUCCAAACAGCAGCAUAUAUUCAAUUAAAAAAAAAAGCAGUACCCCAAGUACUUUUUUCCUGUGUGUAAAAUUACCCAAACUUUCAUUUUUGGCCAUGUGACUAGUCCUAGUGUGUGGGCAUGAGUUUGGGAGAACAGCGAUUUUCACCGCUGUUCAAAGACGUGGAUUCAGCUAAAAAUUCUAGAAAAUGUUAAAAGUCCAUUUCAUUCACCCAAAGCCACAAAUUAGUGCCCAUUACAAAAGCUAGACAAGCUUUUAUUUGCUUUCAUCCUCUUGGCUGCAGGAAUAAUUUUAGGUUUGAUGUGGUCUAACAUUUAUCAUCUCUGCCCUCUCCAAAAUUCGUUUUUUGUUUGAAAUUCAGUCCAGCUGAUUGAAAGGCUUCUGGUUUUAGCUCAGCCCCAGGUUAUAACAAGCAGCAUUAUACUAUAAUUCAAUUGUUAGGGCUUGAUCAAGCCAUAUAACCAGUGACCAUAGUGGAAUGAAAAGCCUUAUAAAAUUCAGAUCUGCCCAGAUGCCACACACCCACAAUGAAUUCAAGGCUUCAAUUGAAAUUGCAAGUCCCAUCACAAUGCCAAAAUGCUCUCUGGCUACAGCUGGGAUUACAUUUCUUCCAGUCUUCUUCAGCACCAAUUCCCCAUUUCUGAAUCCUUAUUGCUUACACAGUAAAUACAAAGGAGAGGAUAUAAAAGAGCAGGUUGGCAGGGCAGAGGAAUGCACUAGUCUUGGUCACAAGUUCCAAUCAAUAGCACACAACCAUCCUUCCUCCAAUGAUUUCCCCCUUCCCCAGAUUUUGCCAACGGUCAUCUUAGAACUGAUAGGUUUUUCUUUCCCGGAUGCCCUGGACGUUUCCUUGGCCAAGCCCCACACUCCUGUGUUUCAGAACUGAAGCAACACGGUAAAAUACUGCUAACCCAGACUUUGAACCUGCACUGCUUGAAAACAAUGCUUUCACACACACGAGAGAGAGGAAAAAAAAACAGACAGACAGAAAUUUUAAAAGAGUGACAUUGUAACUGGAAACAUUUAAAUACAGCAAAACAGAAAUUCCUCUUCUAUGCAAAGCUACAAAAGUCCAGUCUUUGUAUUGUCUUCACAGGUUAUGGUUUAUGGCUAUGCUGAGAGUCUCUGAGAUUUUUUUUUUUUUUAUAUAUUUUUUUUUCUUUUUUUUGAAAUCCUGUAGAGAAGACCCUGCGGACACAUCUUUGUGUUUGCAACUGUUCUGAAUUUCAUUGCAAAACUGUGCAUACAGAAUCUGAGAAAUAAAUACAUUCAUUACUGCACAUACAUAUUGAUACAAAAACAACACUGUCAAAUAGUGUUUGCACCAUCUUUGUUAGAUAUUAAGACCAGGCAAAAUUAAUAUUUCAUUUUCCAUCAGCCUCCCUCUGGUAUCUGAGGUGGCUUUGGUGUAAAAACUAAAAACUACAAAGCAAAAAAAAAAAUAAAAAAAUAAAAAUAGAAAAAAAAAUCAAGACUCUUGGUGGGGAGCUUUUUGCGUGUAACUUUUUUGGCUUCAGCAGUAUUUUAACAAACCCUCUUCAUUGGUAAUCUUUAGGCUGCUCUAACAUGCAAAUCAAGCAUAUCCUACAUGGAAAGCCCUGUGGGAUUUUGGUUGGGAUCUUUUACAUAAGAUAUUAGGGUUUGGACCGAAUCAGUCCAUCUAGGCUAAGACCGUCCAAACAAUAUGGCUCAUGCCCCUGCACUGUUCUGAACAUGGGGAGGGCACUAUAUAUAUAAUGCUGUCAUCCUCAGUCCAGACCAUUAAAACUACCCACAUCAGCCUCUCCUCCUAACAGGCGGCAGCGUCUCUGCCAUAGCUUUGAUCGGUAAAGACCGGCACCCAGUUCCAUUCCCUUCCGUGGCAACAAAGCCUCACAGAAGCUGCAUGUCAAGAGCUCUUUGGUGUCUUCUGUGAUCUUUGUGGCUUCUGUGAUCUACCCCAGAGAAUGGGGCUGGACUUUGGGUUUUUGGCGGUUCCCCAAUAAGGGAUUAGAAAGCAGGAUUAAGCCCAGCCAUGUGGCUCAUGUUAGGGAAAUGAACUGGGCGCAGCAACCCCUACUAGCUCCAGCCAACAUCCUUCCCAGAGGCUCUCCCACUCCUCCCACAGGUGCUCAGAGACAGGCUGUUUGGAGGACCAAUAACCCCUCUUUCUCCUGCACCCCUUUCCCGCUGAUACAGAUACCAGCUGCCAAUGGCAGACAGUGCAAUUUCUUUUUGCAAUUUAGAUCUAGCAAGAAAUGCAUGUCGGACAAGGCCACUGCCCUCCUCAACAAAGCCUCAGGUGCACUGCCCUGAACUCCCAAGAUCUCUCUCAUAGGCCAUAAGGACAAAAAAAAAUUAAAAUAAAAAAAAAUCCCAAUUCCUAAUGACACCUCCCAAACCCCAAGUAGUGCUGGAAUGCAGGUUGGUUCACAGACUCAUAUUUUUCACUGCUAUGAAAUGUGAUAGCCUUUGAAAAGACAAACCAAUGGAAAAAGCAAAGAUUAAUUUUGACUGGCCCCUAGAUCUGUUGAGGUCUGAAACUGUAAAAGUUUAUGUAAACAAUGAGAUAAAUAUAUUAGUAUUUUUCUGAGCCAAGUGAGGUUCCAUACUCAUUCAAAUGUGCUUUGGUUUAAAAAAUAGUUUUGUGAAUUUGGGUAUGAGCUUCUUUAUUCUUUUUAUACAACUUUUGCUAUUUUAUCUUUUUUUUCCUGUUACUCCGAAAACAUUCUGGAACUAAGUGACUAAAGCAUAUAUUUAAGCUGCCUGGCCUCUACCUUUGAAAAACAAAAACAAACAAAAAAAAAAACUUUUAAAUUGUUUUAUUCCUCGAGGCUCUUUGUGUAUCUCCAAAAAAAAAUAAUAAAAUAAAAAAAAUUAAACUUAAAAUAAAAUAAAAAUAAGAAAUCAAAAAAU